AGUGAACGCUGGCGGUAGGCCUAACACACGCAAGUCGAACGGCAGCACAGUAAGAGCUUGCUCUUACGGGUGGCGAGUGGCGGACGGGUGAGGAAUACAUCGGAAUCUACUUUUUCGUGGGGGAUAACGUAGGGAAACUUACGCUAAUACCGCAUACGACCUACGGGUGAAAGCAGGGGAUCUUCGGACCUUGCGCGAUUGAAUGAGCCGAUGUCGGAUUAGCUAGUUGGCGGGGUAAAGGCCCACCAAGGCGACGAUCCGUAGCUGGUCUGAGAGGAUGAUCAGCCACACUGGAACUGAGACACGGUCCAGACUCCUACGGGAGGCAGCAGUGGGGAAUAUUGGACAAUGGGCGCAAGCCUGAUCCAGCCAUACUGCGUGGGUGAAGAAGGCCUUCGGGUUGUAAAGCCCUUUUGUUGGGAAAGAAAAGCAGCAGGUUAAUACCCCGCUGUUCUGACGGUACCCAAAGAAUAAGCACCGGCUAACUUCGUG
rnacentral:rRNA from 1 species